UAUACCCAAGUGCAAUGAAGUUCUGGAUGACUUCAAAGAAAAUGCGGAGACCUGUAAGAAGGGCAAGAAUUGCCCUGUAUGCUGUAACCUAACUGGUUGUGUUGGAAUUUCUCCGCAUUUUACACCUACAGAGCAGGUGUAGCCAGUUUAAGCACGGUCUUUAGAGCUCAAUCGCUAUAAAAGAACUGAAAAAACACAGAGAGAGGUGAUGAGGAUGCUACAAAGGAUAGAAUUGUUUCCAUAUGAGGAACAGCUGUAUAGACUGUGUCUUGAAGCCUGGAGAAGAGGUGACAGGGGAGAAUAUAAAAACAGAACCAUGAACAGCAUGGAGGAAGAAGCUGAAGGUUGUUGAUCCUAGAAGUGAAAAGUGACCUUCAAACACUGUGGUUCAGCACUGGGAGCCUGAUCCAAAGUCUGCUGGGGAGAAAGGAAGUUUGAAUGUUCAUUCCCAAGAGGGUUUUGAGAACCUCCAGAGGAAAACUGCUGACAACAAAUGCCUGUUAAUUAAAACCAAAAA